rnacentral:lncRNA from 1 species
UUGCAGGAGACCUAAACACAGUCACCAUGAAGCUGGGCUGUGUCCUCAUGGCCUGGGCCCUCUACCUUUCCCUUGGUGUGCUCUGGGUGGCCCAGAUGCUACUGGUUACCAUUGUCUUUGCUCCUGGUUUCCCGUACCAGCAGCUGGAUGUCAUGCCGCUGCCAGUUUUGAGACGCUGCAGUGUGAGGGACCUGUCUGCACUGAGGAGAGCAGCUGCCACACGGAGGAUGACUUGACUGAUGCAAGGGAAGCUGGCUUCCAGACUGGCUGAUCCUCCAAGGUCCAGCCAAGCCAGUUUUUGAAGGGGACCUGCUGGUUCUGCGCUGCCAGGCCUGGCAAGACUGGCCACUGACUCAGGUGACCUUCUACCGAGAUGGCUCAGCUCUGGGUCCCCCCGGGCCUAACAGGGAAUUCUCCAUCACCGUGGUACAAAAGGCAGACAGCGGGCACUACCACUGCAGUGGCAUCUUCCAGAGCCCUGGUCCUGGGAUCCCAGAAACAGCAUCUGUUGUGGCUAUCACAGUCCA